rnacentral:rRNA from 1 species
AGUGAACGCUGGCGGUAGGCCUAACACAUGCAAGUCGAACGGCAGCACAGUAAGAGCUUGCUCUUACGGGUGGCGAGUGGCGGACGGGUGAGGAAUACAUCGGAAUCUACUUUUUCGUGGGGGAUAACGUAGGGAAACUUACGCUAAUACCGCAUACGACCUACGGGUGGAAGCAGGGGAUCUUCGGACCUUGCGCGAUUGAAUGAGCCGAUGUCGGAUUAGCUAGUUGGCGGGGUAAAGGCCCACCAAGGCGACGAUCCGUAGCUGGUCUGAGAGGAUGAUCAGCCACACUGGAACUGAGACACGGUCCAGACCCCUACGGGAGGCAGCAGUGGGGAAUAUUGGACAAUGGGCGCAAGCCUGAUCCGGCCAUACCGCGUGGGUGAAGAAGGCCUUCGGGUUGUAAAGCCCUUUUGUUGGGAAAGAAAAGCAGCAGGUUAAUACCCCGCUGUUCUGACGGUACCCAAAGAAUAAGCACCGGCUAACUUCGU